rnacentral:piRNA from 1 species
UCCAAGGCCACAUGAUAGUUACAGAG